rnacentral:rRNA from 1 species
UCAAGCAAUAAGGGCACAGGGCGGAUGCCUUGGCACUAAGAGCCGAAGAAAGACGUGAUAAGCUGCGAUAAGCUUCGGGGAGGAGCAAAUAUCCUUUGAUCCGGAGAUCUCUGAAUGGGGAAACCCGGCUGUAUGGACUACAGUCAUCCAUAAGUGAAUCCAUAGCUUAUGGAAGGGAACCCGGGGAACUGAAACAUCUAAGUACCCGGAGGAAGAGAAAGAAACAUCGAUUCCGUAAGUAGCGGCGAGCGAACGCGGAAGAGCCCAAACCGUGAUGCGUGCAUCGCGGGGUUCGGACUGCAGAAGGGAUUCAGCAACGACAGGAGAACGGCUUUGGAACAGCCGGCCAGAGAGGGUGAGAGCCCCGUAUCCAAAGUCAGAGCUGACCUGGCAGGAUCCAGAGUACCACGGGACACGGGAAACCCUGUGGGAACGAGCGGAGACCACUCCGUAAGGCUAAAUACUACUCAGUGACCGAUAGCGUAUAGUACUGUGAAGGAAAGGUGAAAAGAACCCCGGGAGGGGAGUGAAAGAGAACCUGAAACCCUGUGUCUACAAGCUGUGGAAGUACUUCUUAGGUACGACCGCGUACUUUUUGUAGAACGGUCCGGCGAGCUGCGGGUACUGGCAAGGUUAAGUACUUAAGGUACGGAGCCGUAGGGAAACCAAGUCUUAAUAGGGCGAAUCAGUCAGUACGUGCAGGCCCGAAACCGGGUGACCUAUCCAUGUCCAGGUUGAAGCCGCCGUAAAAGGCGAUGGAGGACCGAACCCACAUCCGUUGAAAAGGGUGGGGAUGAGGUGUGGAUAGCGGAGAAAUUCCAAUCGAACCCGGAGAUAGCUGGUUCUCCUCGAAAUAGCUUUAGGGCUAGCCUCAUACAAGUCUGCCGGAGGUAGAGCACUGAAUUUCCGCGGGGGCGUCAAAGCCUACCAAAGAAUAUCAAACUCCGAAUGCCGGACAGAUGGUGUAUGGGAGUCAGACUGUACGAGAUAAGUUGGACAGUCAAAAGGGAAAGAGCCCAGACCGCCGGCUAAGGUCCCAAAGUGGGUGUUAAGUGGAAAAGGAUGUGGGAUCUCUAAGACAACCAGGAUGUUGGCUCAGAAGCAGCCAUUCAUUAAAAGAGUGCGUAACAGCUCACUGGUCGAGAGGUCCUGCGCCGAAAAUGUCCGGGGCUGAAACACCACACCGAAGCCGCGGAACUCGUAAGAGUUGGUAGAGGAGCAUUCUUAGGGGAGGGAAGCAUUACCGGAAGGGGAUGUGGACUGCUAAGAAGAGAGAAUGCCGGAAUGAGUAGCGAGAGCAAGGUGGGAAUCCUUGCGGCCGAAUAUCCAAGGUUUCCAGAGUAAAGCUGAUCUGCUCUGGGUAAGUCGGGGCCUAAGGAGAGGCAGAGAUGCGUAUCCGAUGGACAGCAGGUAAAAGAUUCCUGCACCCCUUGUUAUCAGAACUGCGGGGACACGGGAAGGGAAGCAGAGCCGGGAAUGGAAAGCCCGGUGCAAGCGAAGUAGUCGCAGGAUUGGAAAAUCCGUCCUGCAUAAGACGAAGGCGUGAUGCGGAGCGAAACAAAGUAGCGAAGCUGCGGCCCCUUCCUGUCGAGAAAAGCCGCUAUCGUGUAGCAAGGGCCCGUACCGUAAACCGACACAGGUGGAUGAGGAGAGGAUCCUAAGGCCGGCGGGAGAAGUGUUGUUAAGGAACUCGGCAAAAUGACUCCGUAACUUCGGGAGAAGGAGUGCUGCGCAAGCAGCCGCAGAGAAAUGGCCCAAGCAACUGUUUAGCAAAAACACAGGUCUAUGCGAAACCGAAAGGUGAGGUAUAUGGGCUGACGCCUGCCCGGUGCUGGAAGGUUAAGAGGAGAUGUCAGGAAACGAAGCAUUGAAUUUAAGCCCCAGUAAACGGCGGCCGUAACUAUAACGGUCCUAAGGUAGCGAAAUUCCUUGUCGGGUAAGUUCCGACCC